UGAAGUAAAAGUCGUAACAAGGUUUCCGUAGGUAAACCUGCGGAAGGAUCAUUACCGAGUGAGGGCCCUCUGGGUCCAACCUCCCACCCGUGUUUAUUUUACCUUGUUGCUUCGGCGGGCCCGCCUUAACUGGCCGCCGGGGGGCUUACGCCCCCGGGCCCGCGCCCGCCGAAGACACCCUCGAACUCUGUCUGAAGAUUGUAGUCUGAGUGAAAAUAUAAAUUAUUUAAAACUUUCAACAACGGAUCUCUUGGUUCCGGCAUCGAUGAAGAACGCAGCGAAAUGCGAUACGUAAUGUGAAUUGCAAAUUCAGUGAAUCAUCGAGUCUUUGAACGCACAUUGCGCCCCCUGGUAUUCCGGGGGGCAUGCCUGUCCGAGCGUCAUUGCUGCCCUCAAGCACGGCUUGUGUGUUGGGCCCCGUCCUCCGAUCCCGGGGGACGGGCCCGAAAGGCAGCGGCGGCACCGCGUCCGGUCCUCGAGCGUAUGGGGCUUUGUCACCCGCUCUGUAGGCCCGGCCGGCGCUUGCCGAUCAACCCAAAUUUUUAUCCAGGUUGACCUCGGAUCAGGUAGGGAUACCCGCUGAACUUAAGCAUAUCAAUAAGCGGAGGA
rnacentral:rRNA from 1 species